UCACUGAUGAAGUUCCUCAACCAAGCUGCUUCUUUAGACGCUUCACUCGCUGCUAUGUACUCUGAUUCACAAGUAGAAUCUGCUACUGUAUCUUGCUUGGAACUUUUCCAAGUAACCGCUCCUCCAUUCAGUAGAAAUCCCCAGCCGGAUUGAGAACGGAAGUUAUCUCUAUCCGUUUGAAAUCUGGCAUCACUAUAAACAUCUACUCUCAAAGUAUCAUUUCCACCAAGUACAAGGACCCAGUCCUUCAUUCUUCAUAAAUACUUGAGUAUAUUCUUUACUACUAUCCAAUGAGCUCUGCCUGGGUUUCCCUGAUAUCGACCGACCAUGCUCCAGGAAAAGGCCACAUCAGGGCGAGUACAUGUCAUAGCGUACAUGAUCGAUCCGACAGCGAAAGCAUAAGGUACACGACUCAUGUCAGCUAUUUCCUCAUCUGUACUAGGGCAUUGAGUCUUACUCAAUUUUGUGUUUCUCUGGAUAGGUAGCUCUCCCUUAUUGGAAUUUUCCAUACUAAACCUCUUUAGUACCUUAUCCAAGUAUGUGCUCUGACUAAGUCUAAUAAGUCUCUUCUUUCUAUCUCUCAAUAUCCUAAUCCCAAGAAUAUAAGCAGCGUCUCCAAGGUCUAUCAUGGCAAAACACUUUCCAAGCCAAGACUUAACUUCAUUCAAGGUUGGAAUGUCGUUACCAAUGAGUAAUAUGUCAUCGACAUAUAACACCAGAAAAGUUACUAUACUCCCACUAGCCUUGAUAUACACACAAACUCAUCUUCACUUCUAGAGAAACCAAACUCUUUGACUUUCUCAUGGAAGCAAAGAUUCCAGCUGCGAGAUGCUUGUUUCUACCCAUAAAUGGAUUUCUCAAGCUUACACACUCUAUUGGGAAAUUUUGCAUCGACAAAACCCUCUGGUUGAUUCAUGUAAACGUCCUCAGCCAGCUUCCCGUUAAGGAAAGCAGUCUUGACAUCCAUCUGCCAGAUUUCAUAGUCAAGAAAGGCAGCUACGGCAAGCAAUAUCCUGAUAGAUUUAAUCUUGGCUACUGGCGAGAAUGUUUCAUCAUAGUCAACCCCUGGGGCUUGUGUGAAGCCUUUCGCAACCAGUCUAGCCUUGAAUGUGUGUACAUUCCAAUCCAUGUAUGUCUUCUUCUUGAAGAUCCAUUUGCACCCAACUGUCUUACGACCCGGUGCAUUAUCAACCAAAUUCCAAACUUGGUUGUCAUACAUGGAUUUUAUCUUGUUGUCCAUUUCCUCUUUCCACUUGGAAGCCUCUGGGCCUGCCAUUACUUCCUUAUAAGAGACCAGUUCAUCUAAAUUCACCAGUGUCCUAUCACUAAUGAAUGUGUCACUGUAUGAACUAAUAUGAAAACCAUACAACUCAGGUGGCACACUCAGCCGAGUGGAUCUUCGAAGAGUUAAUGAUUUAUCAACUGGUUCAAUAGAAACUGUUUCCUCUGGUUGAGUGCUAGUGUCAUCUAUGGUUCCUUCAGUAGUUGACUCUUGAAUCUCUUCAAGGUCAAUGGUACUCCCACAGUCCUCUUUCAAUAUGAGCUCUCUUUCUAGAAAGACUCCUCUUCGUGCUACAAAAACCACGUUCUCACUAGGUCUGUAGAACACAUAUCCAAAAGACUGUUAUGGGUAACCAAUGAAAACACAAUUCUGACUUCUUGCUGCUAGCUUGUCGUGAGUCUCUCAUCUUACGAAAGCUUCACAACCCCAGACAUUAAUAUGUGCCAAUGAGGGAACAUUCCCUGUCCACAUUUCAUGAGGUGUUUUGGCAACCUUCUUUGUUGGGACAAGAUUUAGGAUGUGGGCAGCUGUUUCUAAGGCAUAGCUCCAGAAAUGAAUUGGAAGUGGAGAACGACUCAUCAUUGAACGAACCAUGUCUAACAAGGUUCGAUUACACCUCUCGGCCACACCAUUUAACUUUGGUGUCCUAGGAGGAGUCAAUUGUGAGACUAUCCCACAUUCCUUUAGAUAGUCGUUGAACUCAAUGCUAAGAUACUCUCCGCCUUUAUCGGAUCUAAGUAUCUUUAUUUUCCUGACUAUUUGAUUUUCGACCUCAUGUUUAAACUCUUUGAACUUUUCAAAGGUUUCUGACUUAUGUUUGAUUAAGUAUACAUAACCAUAUCUACUAUAAUCAUCAGUGAAAGUCACAUAAAAUCGAUUAGCAUCUCUUGUGGUUGAUCUGAAGGGUCCACAAACAUUUGUAUGUAUGAGGUCCAACAAACCUUCACCUCUUUCCAAGACCAUGUGAAUGGUGAUUUUGUCAUCUUUCCCAAAAGACAAGAUUCACACACAUCAUCUGAUUUUAGGUUAAAUGAUUCCAACACUCCAUCCUUUUGGAGUUGGACUAUGCGUUUCUUGUUAAUGUGUCCAAGACAACAAUGCCACAAGCAUGCCUUGUCUACACUAUUAGACAAGUCAAUAUUAAACACACUAUUUCCUAAGCUAUCAACACAAGUCACUGUUUCAUACACACCAUCACAAGGUAAAGCUUCAAACACGAAAACACCAUUCUUAUAAACAGAAAUUGAACCAUUCAAAUCAUUAAAAGAAUAUUUAAAACCUUGUCUGAACAAUGCAUGAAAUGAAAUAAUGUUUCUCGUCAUCUCAGACGAAUAGCAACAAUUCAAUAAANUACUAAGAAAAAGUUGAUAAACUCCGAUCUUGGUUACUGGUGAAGACUUCUUGUUUCCCAUGACCAAGUUUAUCCUUCCUCUCUCUAUCUCCUCACUUUCCUUUAGCCCUUGCAAAUCAGAACAUAUGUGAAAACCACAUCCUGUAUCAAGGACCCAUGAACAAGAAGAUAAUGAGUUAUUAGAAGAAAUAGUGUAAAUACCUACCGAAAACGGCUUCACUUUGCCAUCUUUGAUAUCCUGCAGAUAUUGUGGGCAGGUUCUCUUCCAUGGUCUCUAGGUUCCUUAGUUAAGGCAACCGCUCCCUCAUUAUUAUAGAACAGUUCCAUAGGCUCCUGGACGAUUAGAACAACUCCAAGAUCACUGAUGAAGUUCCUCAACCAAGCUGCUUCUUUAGACGCUUCACUCGCUGCUAUGUAGUCUGAUUCACAAGUAGAAUCUGCUACUAUAUCUUGCUUGGAACUUUUCCAAGUAACCGCUCCUCCAUUCAGUAGAAAUACCCAGCCGGAUUGAGAACGGAAGUUAUCUCUAUCCGUUUGAAAGCUGGCAUCACUGUAAACAUCUACUCUCAAAGUAUCAUUUCCACCAAGUACAAGGACCCAGUCCUUCAUUCUUCGUAAAUACUUGAGUAUAUUCUUUACUGCUGUCCAAUGAGCUCUGCCUGGGUUUCCCUGAUAUCGACUGACCAUGCUUAAGGCAAAGGCCACAUCAGGGCGAGUACAUGUCAUAGCGUACAUGAUCGAUCCGACAGCGGAAGCAUAAGGUACACGACUCAUGUCAGCUAUUUCCUCAUCUGUACUAGGGCAUUGAGUCUUACUCAAUUUUGUGUAGCUCUGGAUAGGUAGCUCUCCCUUCUUGGAAUUUUCUAUACUAAACCUCUUUAAUAAAUCUCUUCUUUCUAUCUCUCAAUAUCCUAAUCCCAAGAAUAUAAGCAGCGUAUCCAAGGUCUUUCAUGGCAAAACACUUUCCAAGCCAAGACUUAACUUAAUUCAAGGUUGGAAUGUCGUUACCAAUGAGUAAUAUGUCAUUGACAUAUAACACCAGAAAAGUUACUAUACUCCCACUAGCCUUGAUAUACACACAAAACUCAUCUUCACUUCUAGAGAAACCAAACUCUUUGACUUUCUCAUGGAAGCAAAGAUUCCAGCUGCGAGAUGCUUGUUUCAAUCCAU
rnacentral:lncRNA from 1 species